UACGGAGGGUGCAAGCGUUAUCCGGAUUCACUGGGUUUAAAGGGUGCGUAGGUGGGUUUGUAAGUCAGUGGUGAAAUCUCCAGGCUUAACCUGGAAACUGCCAUUGAUACUACAGGUCUUGAAUUUUCUGGAGGUAAGCGGAAUAUGUCAUGUAGCGGUGAAAUGCUUAGAUAUGACAUAGAACACCAAUUGCGAAGGCAGCUUGCUACAGGGAUAUUGACACUGAGGCACGAAAGCGUGGGGAUCAAACAGG
rnacentral:rRNA from 1 species